ACGAAAUACAAAAAAAACACAGCUUUUGGAAACUUCCAAAUUACUCUCUCACUGUCACACUUUUCUCACCGCCACACUUCUCUACAACAGCACUUCUCCACCGUCUACGACGCACUUCUCCGCCGUCUACGUCGGCACUUCUCUACAACGGCACGUCUCCUCACAACUCUGUAAACUUCAGCUACUGACCAAAUUCAAAAUUUUAUAGGUGUUCUAAGGUAAUGUUUUCCACUUCUCACCUCUUUGAAUAAUGAAUCUACCUCACAUUUUUAGAUUUUCUCAUAUGAAUCUUCAUAAAUUGUACAAAUUAUUGGUUGUAUUUACUAGGUAAGUUUAUUUUUUGUCUGUUUGUAUUGAUGCAUGGAGGUAGAAGUAGGUUAAUUUUGUUAUAUUCUUCAUGGAUGAAAAUUCAAAAUAUCAAAUUUGGUCAUGUAUUUUGUGGUAGAAUUAGGUUUAUUUUGUUAUAAUUUUGGUGAUUCUACAGAUUCUUCGAGACAUUCUGUGUCUACAGAUUUUUUGGAGCCACUUUGUCUGAAAUGGUGUCGCUAACAAGUGCCUUGUUUCUUCUUAAAAUUUGGAGUUGUCGUCUCCGUGAAUCCUUUUGUUUAUGCUGGAGUAAGGUCUGUAUAAUUUCCCCCUUUGUUUGUUAAUUAAUUCUUCUUUAGCUGUUAAAUGUGCCCUCAAUCUUCACUUAUCUCUCUAUACUUGUAUUAAUACAUUAUAUUCUUAUUUGGAACUGAAAUUAACAGGAGAGCUUCUAGAUCUUCGGGGAUAAAAAAAGUUGAGGUACUCUUUCAUUUGCUUAGAUCACUAUAAUUUCUCAGUGGUUAGGCCCCUAUGGAAAUAGUUGAAGCCUCAAGUUCGCCUGAUGCUUAUGCUUAAAAUCAACUAUAAUAGUACUAAAUAGAGAUAAAUAGACAUUUACUCUCAGUGGACGUUCUUAGUGUUGGUGAUGAUAUUUUCUUCAGAACAAUACUAGGAUUGCACAAGUACAGUUGCAUACAUUUCAAACAGAGAAUGUUUGGCAAGUGCUAGAAUGAACUUCUAAUUUUAAUUGAAUUUAUGCUUAUAUAAAAAAUCAAAUUGAUGAAUAAAAUCAAUUCUUAACUGAAAAUUUCGUUGAUGAUUCGAUUCGGGGGGAAAGGCUCGGAUAUCUUCUGAACCUAGAAACACAAUUAUAGUUGCCAAACUAUGACAGUUCCGAGGAGAGAAUCAGGAGACUUGGAUAGUUCAAGCUAUACAUUAUUUCGAUUUCUAUAAAAUUGAGGAAGAUCAAAAGCUUAAUGUGGUGUCGCUCUACCUUAAUGGUGAAGCAUUACAAUGGUACCCGUGGUUAUUUAGGAAUAAUCAAUUAAGUGAUUGGUUGCAUUUUGCUGAUAAGAUGAAAAUUCGAUUUAAACAGAAAUGAUAUGAGUCUGCGACAGAGUGAAGCGCCAAUCUCGAACAGAUAUGCCGAAGCUGAAGCAUUACGAUAACUUACGCAACUCAUAUACUCAUCAUCUAGUUCACAAGGUUUGGCACAUUCUUCAUCAAGAAAUGAAUCAUUUGACGUCAUCAACUCCGCGAUAUGCGUUGACAUCGGUAUAUUGACAGUUGAUUUCGCUGCUAAAGAAUGAAAAUGAUAUUGUGUACUAACUCAAGGCAGAUGCGCGGCUAGCUGCUUAAACUUUGUUUGUUUAGGUAAAAUUUGACAAAUACGACAACUACAAGUAUUGUCAAGUGGGCUAACAACCUUUAUCAAGGAGUUAUGCUUCCAUUACCCGUGCCUCUAAAGCCAGCUGAUGUUAGUGACAAUAAUUGUAGUGAAACUAGUUGAAGUUCCAUAAACCGAUCCUAUCUUGAGUUUGGGUGAUAUUGAUUUGAAGUUUAAGCAAGUUUUGUAGUGAUUUGAAGUUAAAGCAAAUUUUUUUAGUGAUAUGAAGUUUCUUGUAAUCGUAAUGGUUGAAACAAAUGAUAUGUUUUUGUUCACUUCAUGAUAUACUUUUGUGUUGAAUAUUGUAUUAUUUCUUAAUACUGAUGUCCUUUGAUAA